AUCUCCAGCUAACAGGUAAAAAA
rnacentral:snRNA from 1 species